CGAUAGCGGAUAGUACCGUGAGGGAAUGGUGAAAAGUACCGCGGGAGCGGAGUGAAAUAGUACCUGAAACCGUGUGCCUACAAGCCGUGGGAGCGUCGCUGUAUGUGCUUGCACAUACAGUCGUGACUGCGUGCCUUUUGAAGAAUGAGCCUGCGAGUUUGCGGUGUGUUGCGAGGUUAACCCGUGUGGGGAAGCCGUAGCGAAAGCGAGUCCGAAUA
rfam:Streptomyces sp. NRRL WC-3618 P435contig472.1, whole genome shotgun sequence.